CUAUCCUACGGGAGGCAGCAGUGGGGAAUAUUGCACAAUGGGGGAAACCCUGAUGCAGCGACGCCGCGUGAGUGAAGAAGUAUUUCGGUAUGUAAAGCUCUGUCAGCAGGGAAGAAAAUGACGGUACCUGACCAAGAAGCCCCGGCUAACUACGUGCCAGCAGCCGCGGUAAUACGUAGGGGGCAAGCGUUAUCCGGAUUUACUGGGUGUAAAGGGAGCGUAGACGGCAGGGCAAGUCUGGAGUGAAAGGCGGGGGCUCAACCCCCGGACUGCUCUGGAAACUGUGCGGCUUGAGUGCGGGAGGG
rnacentral:rRNA from 1 species